AGAGUUUGAUCAUGGCUCAGGAUGAACGCUGGCGGCGUGCCUAAUACAUGCAAGUCGAACGGAGAAUGUAGCAAUACGUUCUUAGUGGCGAACGGGUGAGUAACGCGUGGGCGACCUGCCCCGAAGAGCGGGAUAACAAUUCGAAAGGAUUGCUAAUACCGCAUGUGGUCUCUGAGAUUAGAUGCUCGGCGACUAAAGGGAGUAAUCCGCUUUGGGAGGGGCCUGCGUCCCAUCAGCUAGUUGGAAAGGUAACGGCUUACCAAGGCUAUGACGGGUAGGGGACCUGAGAGGGUGGCCCCCCACAAUGGAACUGAAACACGGUCCAUACACCUACGGGUGGCAGCAGUAGGGAAUAUUGCUUAAUGGGCGAAAGCCUGAAGCAGCAACGCCGCGUGUGCGAUGAAGGCUUUCGGGUUGUAAAGCACUUUUUGAGGGGAUGAGGAAGGACAGUACUCUCAGAAUAAGCCUCGGCUAACUACGUGCCAGCAGCCGCGGUAACACGUAGGAGGCAAGCGUUAUCCGGAUUUACUGGGCGUAAAGCGCGUGCAGGCGGUUUGGAAAGUUGGAUGUGAAAGCUCCUGGCUUAACUGGGAGAGGUCGUUCAAUACUUCUAGACUCGAGUAUGGGAGAGGGAGGUGGAAUUCUCGGGUGUAGUGGUGAAAUGCGUAGAUAUCCGGAGGAACACUAGUGGCGAAAGCGGCCUCUCUGGCUCAUUACUGACGCUCAGACGCGAAAGCUAGGGUAGCAAACGGGAUUAGAGACUCCGGUAGUCCUAGCUGUAAACGAUGUGAACUUGGCGUUGGUGGGUUCAAAUCCAUCAGUGCCGGAGCUAACGCGUUAAGUUCAUCGCCUGGGGACUACGGCCGCAAGGUUAAAACUCAAAGGAAUUG
rnacentral:rRNA from 1 species